UACGUAGGGUGCAAGCGUUAAUCGGAAUUACUGGGCGUAAAGCGUGCGCUAGACGGUGAUGUAAGACAGUUGUCGAAAUCCCGGGCUCAACCUCGGGAACUGCAUCUGUGACUGCAUCGCUGGAGUGCGGCAGAGGGGGAUGGAAUUCCGCGUGUAGCAGUGAAAUGCGUAGAUAUGCGGAGGAACACCGGAUGGCGAAGGCAAUCCCCUGGGCUUGCACAGACGCUCGAU
rnacentral:rRNA from 1 species